UACGUAGGGCGCAAGCGUUAUCCGGAAUUAUUGGGCGUAAAGAGCUCGUAGGCGGCUUGUCGCGUCGACUGUGAAAACCCGAGGCUCAACCUCGGGCCUGCAGUGGGUACGGGCAGACUAGAGUGCGGUAGGGGAGAUUGGAAUUCCUGGUGUAGCGGUGGAAUGCGCAGAUAUCAGGAGGAACACCAAUGGCGAAGGCAGAUCUCUGGGCCGUAACUGACGCUGAGGAGCGAAAGCAUGGGGAGCGAACAGG
rnacentral:rRNA from 1 species